GCUCUAAUAGCUUAAUAAUAAAGCAUUGUUCUUGUAAACCAAAGCCGGGCACACCCCUUAGAGCA
rnacentral:tRNA from 1 species